rnacentral:rRNA from 1 species
UACGUAGGUGGCAAGCGUUGUCCGGAUUUACUGGGCGUAAAGAGCGCGCAGGCGGUCGAAUAAGUCGAAUGUGAAAGCCCCCGGCUUAACUGGGGAGGGUCAUUCGAUACUGUUCGACUUGAAGGCAGGAGAGGGCAGCAGAAUUCCCGGUGUAGUGGUGAAAUGCGUAGAUAUCGGGAGGAACACCAGUGGCGAAGGCGACUUCCUGGCCUGUUCUUGACGCUGAGGCGCGAAAGCUAGGGGAGCAAACGGG